UCAGGUACUAAGAGCUGUAAUAAAGGCUCUCGAUGAUCCCAAGAGAGCCGUUCGUCGAGAAGCCGUCCGAUGCAGGCAAGCAUGGGCAUCAAUUGCAUAAAGUAGGCUACAUUUCUAAUUUCUUCCAUGGCUAGCGAAGUACAGUAAAUGUUGCUAUAUAUUAUUUGUGAUGAUUAGGCAUAGUUU